UGGGGAAUCUUCCGCAAUGGGCGAAAGCCUGACGGAGCAACGCCGCGUGAGUGAUGAAGGCCUUCGGGCUGUAAAACUCUGUUGUCAGGGACGAAGGUGCACCUUUCGAACAGAUGGGUGUAUUGACGGUACCUGACGAGGAAGCCACGGCUAACUACGUGCCAGCAGCCGCGGUAAUACGUAGGUGGCAAGCGUUGUCCGGAAUUAUUGGGCGUAAAGAGCAUGUAGGCGGGCCUUUAAGUCCGACGUGAAAAUGCGGGGCUCAACCCCGUAUGGCGUUGGAUACUGGAGGUCUUGAGUGCAGGAGAGGAAAGGGGAAUUCCCAGUGUAGCGGUGAAAUGCGUAGAUAUUGGGAGGAACACCAGUGGCGAAGGCGCCUUUCUGGACUGUGUCUGACGCU
rnacentral:rRNA from 1 species